rnacentral:rRNA from 1 species
CAGACGAGGAGCUUGCUCCUCUGACGUUAGCGGCGGACGGGUGAGUAACACGUGGAUAACCUACCUAUAAGACUGGGAUAACUUCGGGAAACCGGAGCUAAUACCGGAUAAUAUAUUGAACCGCAUGGUUCAAUAGUGAAAGACGGUUUUGCUGUCACUUAUAGAUGGAUCCGCGCCGCAUUAGCUAGUUGGUAAGGUAACGGCUUACCAAGGCAACGAUGCGUAGCCGACCUGAGAGGGUGAUCGGCCACACUGGAACUGAGACACGGUCCAGACUCCUACGGGAGGCAGCAGUAGGGAAUCUUCCGCAAUGGGCGAAAGCCUGACGGAGCAACGCCGCGUGAGUGAUGAAGGUCUUCGGAUCGUAAAACUCUGUUAUUAGGGAAGAACAAAUGUGUAAGUAACUAUGCACGUCUUGACGGUACCUAAUCAGAAAGCCACGGCUAACUACGUGCCAGCAGCCGCGGUAAUACGUAGGUGGCAAGCGUUAUCCGGAAUUAUUGGGCGUAAAGCGCGCGUAGGCGGUUUUUUAAGUCUGAUGUGAAAGCCCACGGCUCAACCGUGGAGGGUCAUUGGAAACUGGAAAACUUGAGUGCAGAAGAGGAAAGUGGAAUUCCAUGUGUAGCGGUGAAAUGCGCAGAGAUAUGGAGGAACACCAGUGGCGAAGGCGACUUUCUGGUCUGUAACUGACGCUGAUGUGCG